rnacentral:rRNA from 1 species
AAACUUUCAACAACGGAUCUCUUGGUUCUCGCAUCGAUGAAGAACGCAGCGAAUUGCGAUACGUAAUGCGAAUUGCAGAUUUUCGUGAGUCAUCGAAUCUUUGAACGCACAUUGCGCCCCCUGGUAUUCCGGGGGGCAUGCCUGUUUGAGCGUCGUUA